rnacentral:rRNA from 1 species
UACGUAGGGUGCAAGCGUUGUCCGGAAUUAUUGGGCGUAAAGAGCUCGUAGGCGGUCUGUCGCGUCGGCUGUGAAAACCCGAGGCUCAACCUCGGGCCUGCAGUCGAUACGGGCAAACUUGAGUACUGCAGGGGAGACUGGAAUUCCUGGUGUAGCGGUGAAAUGCGCAGAUAUCAGGAGGAACACCGGUGGCGAAGGCGGGUCUCUGGGCAGUAACUGACGCUGAGGAGCGAAAGCGUGGGGAGCGAACAGG